rnacentral:rRNA from 1 species
GAUGAACGCUGGCGGCGUGCCUAAUUCAUGCAAGUCGAGCGAAUGGAUUAAGAGCUUGCUCUUAUGAAGUUAGCGGCGGACGGGUGAGUAACACGUGGGUAACCUGCCCAUAAGACUGGGAUAACUCCGGGAAACCGGGGCUAAUACCGGAUAACGUUUUGAACCGCAUGGUUCGAAAUUGAAAGGCGGCUUCGGCUGUCACUUAUGGAUGGACCCGCGUCGCAUUAGCUAGUUGGUGAGGUAACGGCUCACCAAGGCAACGAUGCGUAGCCGACCUGGGAGGGUGAGCGGCAACACUGGGACUGAGACACGGCCCAGACUCCUACGGGAGGCAGCAGUAGGGAAUCUUCCGCAAUGGACGAAAGUCUGACGGAGCAACGCCGCGUGAGUGAUGAAGGCUUUCGGGUCGUAAAACUCUGUUGUUAGGGAAGAACAAGUGCUAGUUGAAUAAGCUGGCACCUUGACGGUACCUAACCAGAAAGCCACGGCUAACUACGUGCCAGCCGCCGCGGUAA